AGAUGUUCUCUUAGAUAUUGGUAUGGAACGCAGGGAAGCCUGGACUAACUGGAUAAAGUCAUAUAUACAAGAGCUCUCCACAACUGGUGUAUUAGAUGAGGAGAGGAAAGUUUCAAUGAAUUUUGUAAAUCCAAAGUACAUCCUCAGAAACUAUCUAUGCCAGAAUGCCAUUGAUGCAGCAGAACAAGGCGAUUUUGAGGAGGUUCGGCAGUUAUUGAAGGUUAUGCAAUGUCCAUUUGAUGAACAGCCUGGUAUGGAGAAAUAUGCACGCUUGCCUCCAGCUUGGGCUCAUCGUCCGGGUGUAUGCAUGCUUUCUUGUUCCUCAUAAGGUUUCCGGGUGUAUGCUUAUGCUUUCUUGUUCCUCAUAAUAUCUCCACUAUGUAAUACCAGAGUUUCACUUGUAUAUAUAUAACUAGUCUCCCGGCACGUGCGUUGCACGUGUAUUCCAAAUAAAAAUCAAUAAAAAAAAUAAAUGAAAAAGUAUAUAAUAAACUAUUAGGAG
rnacentral:misc_RNA from 1 species